rnacentral:rRNA from 1 species
GGAGGAAAAGAAWCUAACAAGGAUUCCCCUAGUAACGGCGAGUGAAGCGGGAAGAGCUCAAAUUUGAAAUCUGGUAGCCUUCGGUUGCCCGAGUUGUAAUCUAGAGAAGUGUUUUCCGCGUUGGCCCAUGUACAAGUCCCUUGGAACAGGGCGUCAUAGAGGGUGAGAAUCCCGUCCUUGACAUGGACCCCCAAUGCUUUGUGAUACACUUUCAACGAGUCGAGUUGUUUGGGAAUGCAGCUCAAAAUGGGUGGUGAAUUCCAUCUAAAGCUAAAUAUUGGCGAGAGACCGAUAGCGAACAAGUACCGUGAGGGAAAGAUGAAAAGCACUUUGGAAAGAGAGUUAAACAGUACGUGAAAUUGUUGAAAGGGAAACGAUUGAAGUCAGUCAUGCUCUUUGGAUUAAGCCGUUCUGCGGUGUAUUUCAUUGAGCGGGGUCAACAUCAGUUUUGAUCGCUGGAAAAGGGCAGGAGGAAGGUAGCACUCUCGGGUGAACUUAUAGCCUCUUGUCGUAUACAGUGAUUGGGACUGAGGAACGCAGCAUGCCUUUUGGCCGGGAUUCGUCCACGUACAUGCUUAGGAUGUUGACAUAAU